UACGUAGGGUCCAAGCGUUGUCCGGAAUUAUUGGGCGUAAAGAGCGUGUAGGCGGUCUGGUUAGUCGGCUGUGAAAGUCAAGGGCUCAACCCUUGAAUGGCGGUCGAUACUGCCGGGCUAGAGUCCGGAAGAGGCAAGUGGAAUUCCCGGUGUAGCGGUGAAAUGCGCAGAUAUCGGGAGGAACACCAAUGGCGAAGGCAGCUUGCUGGGACGGUACUGACGCUGAGACGCGAAAGCGUGGGGAGCAAACAGG
rnacentral:rRNA from 1 species